UCCGGGGCAGAAAAUUGGGUA
rnacentral:misc_RNA from 1 species